UACGUAGGGUGCAAGCGUUGUCCGGAAUUAUUGGGCGUAAAGAGCUCGUAGGCGGUUUGUUGCGUCGGCUGUGAAAUCCCGAGGCUCAACCUCGGGUCUGCAGUCGAUACGAGCAAACUAGAGUGUUGCAGGGGAGACUGGAAUUCCUGGUGUAGCGGUGAAAUGCGCAGAUAUCAGGAGGAACACCGGUGGGCGAAGGCGGGUCUCUGGGC
rnacentral:rRNA from 1 species